GACGAACGCUGGCGGCGUGCUUAACACAUGCAAGUCGAGCGGUAAGGCCCUUUCGGGGGUACACGAGCGGCGAACGGGUGAGUAACACGUGGGUGACCUGCCCUCAGCUCUGGGAUAGGCCUGGGAAACCGGGUCUAAUACUGGAUAUGACUCCAUGACGCAUGUUGUGGGGUGGAAAGCCUUGUGCGGCUGAGGAUGGGCCCGCGGCCUAUCAGCUUGUUGGGUGGGGUGAGGCCUACCAAGGCGACGACGGGUAGCCGGCCUGAGAGGGCGACCGGCCACACUGGGACUGAGACACGGCCCAGACUCCUACGGGAGGCAGCAGUGGGGAAUCUUGCGCAAUGGGCGAAAGCCUGACGCAGCGACGCCGCGUGAGGGAUGACGGCCU
rnacentral:rRNA from 1 species